rnacentral:rRNA from 1 species
UACGUAGGGUGCAAGCGUUAAUCGGAAUUACUGGGCGUAAAGCGUGCGCAGGCGGUGAUGUAAGACAGAUGUGAAAUCCCCGGGCUCAACCUGGGAACUGCAUUUGUGACUGCAUCGCUAGAGUACGGCAGAGGGGGAUGGAAUUCCGCGUGUAGCAGUGAAAUGCGUAGAUAUGCGGAGGAACACCGAUGGCGAAGGCAAUCCCCUGGGCCUGUACUAACGCUCAUGCACGAAAGCGUGGGGAGCAAACAGG